UUUUAAAUUUAGAGUUUGAUCCUGGCUCAGGACGAACGCUGGCGGCGUGCUUAACACAUGCAAGUCGAGCGAUGAAACUUCCUUCGGGAAGUGGAUUAGCGGCGGACGGGUGAGUAACACGUGGGUAACCUGCCUCAAAGUGGGGGAUAGCCUUCCGAAAGGAAGAUUAAUACCGCAUAAUAUGAGAGAAUCGCAUGAUUUUCUCAUCAAAGAUUUAUUGCUUUGAGAUGGACCCGCGGCGCAUUAGCUAGUUGGUAAGGUAACGGCUUACCAAGGCAACGAUGCGUAGCCGACCUGAGAGGGUGAUCGGCCACAUUGGAACUGAGACACGGUCCAGACUCCUACGGGAGGCAGCAGUGGGGAAUAUUGCGCAAUGGGGGAAACCCUGACGCAGCAACGCCGCGUGGGUGAUGAAGGUCUUCGGAUUGUAAAGCCCUGUUUUCUAGGACGAUAAUGACGGUACUAGAGGAGGAAGCCACGGCUAACUACGUGCCAGCAGCCGCGGUAAUACGUAGGUGGCGAGCGUUGUCCGGAUUUACUGGGCGUAAAGGGUGCGUAGGCGGAUGUUUAAGUGGGAUGUGAAAUCCCCGGGCUUAACCUGGGGGCUGCAUUCCAAACUGGAUAUCUAGAGUGCAGGAGAGGAAAGCGGAAUUCCUAGUGUAGCGGUGAAAUGCGUAGAGAUUAGGAAGAACACCAGUGGCGAAGGCGGCUUUCUGGACUGUAACUGACGCUGAGGCACGAAAGCGUGGGUAGCAAACAGGAUUAGAUACCCUGGUAGUCCACGCCGUAAACGAUGGAUACUAGGUGUAGGGGGUAUCAACUCCCCCUGUGCCGCAGUUAACACAAUAAGUAUCCCGCCUGGGGAGUACGGUCGCAAGAUUAAAACUCAAAGGAAUUGACGGGGGCCCGCACAAGCAGCGGAGCAUGUGGUUUAAUUCGAAGCAACGCGAAGAACCUUACCUGGACUUGACAUCCCUUGCAUAGCCUAGAGAUAGGUGAAGCCCUUCGGGGCAAGGAGACAGGUGGUGCAUGGUUGUCGUCAGCUCGUGUCGUGAGAUGUUAGGUUAAGUCCUGCAACGAGCGCAACCCUUGUUAUUAGUUGCUACCAUUAAGUUGAGCACUCUAAUGAGACUGCCUGGGUAACCAGGAGGAAGGUGGGGAUGACGUCAAAUCAUCAUGCCCCUUAUGUCCAGGGCUACACACGUGCUACAAUGGUAGGUACAAUAAGACGCAAGACCGUGAGGUGGAGCAAAACUUAUAAAACCUAUCUCAGUUCGGAUUGUAGGCUGCAACUCGCCUACAUGAAGCUGGAGUUGCUAGUAAUCGCGAAUCAGAAUGUCGCGGUGAAUACGUUCCCGGGCCUUGUACACACCGCCCGUCACACCAUGAGAGCUGGUAACACCCGAAGUCCGUGAGGUAACCGUAAGGAGCCAGCGGCCGAAGGUGGGAUUAGUGAUUGGGGUGAAGUCGUAACAAGGUAGCCGUAGGAGAACCUGCGGCUGGAUCACCUCCUUUCUA
rnacentral:rRNA from 1 species